rnacentral:rRNA from 1 species
CUACGGGGGGCAGCAGUGGGGAAUAUUGGACAAUGGGCGAAAGCCUGAUCCAGCCAUGCCGCGUGUGUGAAGAAGGCCUUCGGGUUGUAAAGCACUUUCAGUGGGGAAGAAAGCCUUGGGGCUAAUACCCUCGAGGAAGGACAUCACCCACAGAAGAAGCACCGGCUAACUCCGUGCCAGCAGCCGCGGUAAUACGGAGGGUGCGAGCGUUAAUCGGAAUUACUGGGCGUAAAGCGCGCGUAGGCGGUCUGAUAAGCCGGUUGUGAAAGCCCCGGGCUCAACCUGGGAACGGCAUCCGGAACUGGCAGGCUAGAGUGCAGGAGAGGAAGGUAGAAUUCCCGGUGUAGCGGUGAAAUGCGUAGAGAUCGGGAGGAAUACCAGUGGCGAAGGCGGCCUUCUGGACUGACACUGACGCUGAGGUGCGAAAGCGUGGGUAGCAAACAGGAUUAGAUACCCCAGUAGUC